CCUACGGGAGGCAGCAGUGGGGAAUAAAGCACAAUGGGGGAAACCCUGAUGCAGCGACGCCGCGUGAGUGAAGAAGUAUUUCGGUAUGUACGGCUCUAUCAGCAGGGAAGAUAAUGACGGUACCUGACUAAGAAGCCCCGGCAUACUACGUGCCAGCAGCCGCGGUAAU
rnacentral:rRNA from 1 species